UACGUAGGGUGCGAGCGUUGUCCGGAAUUAUUGGGCGUAAAGAGCUCGUAGGCGGUGUGUCACGUCGUUCGUGAAAACCUGCAGCUUAACUGUGGGCGUGCGGUCGAUACGGGCAUCACUGGAGUUCGGCAGGGGAGACUGGAAUUCCUGGUGUAGCGGUGAAAUGCGCAGAUAUCAGGAGGAACACCGGUGGCGAAGGCGGCGUUCUGGACUGCAACUGACACUGAGAAACGAAAGCCAGGGGAGCAAACGGG
rnacentral:rRNA from 1 species